GUUGAUCGCUGACAGAAUGCUUAACACAUGCACGUCAACUUGUAGCGGACCGGUGAGUAACGCGUAAAGCACUUGCCUCACAGGUAGGGACAACAUUUGGAAACGUUUGCUAAUACCUAAUACUGUGUGAGAGCUUUGCGUCCCAUUAGCUAGUUGGAGAGGUAACUGAUCACCAAGGCGAUGAUGGGUAGCCGGCCUGAGAGGGUGAUCGGCCACAAGGGGACUGAGAAACGGCCCUUACUCCUACGGGAGGGAGUAGUGGUGAAUAAUGAACAAUGGACCAAAGUCUGAUCCAGCAAUUCGGUGUGCACGAUGAAGUUUUCGGAAUGUAAAGUGCUUUUAGUUGGGAAGCGGUACCAACAUAAGAAGUGACGGCUAAAUACGUGCCAGCCGCCGCGGUAAUUC
rnacentral:rRNA from 1 species